rnacentral:piRNA from 1 species
UGGCAGGGCCUCAAAGGUACAUCUAUCUC